rnacentral:misc_RNA from 1 species
UUUCCGUAGGUGAACCUGCGGAAGGAUCAUUACAGUAGUCACCCAGGUUGCCGCAAGGCCUCCUGGGUAACCUACCACCCUUUGUUUGUUACACUUUGUUGCUUUGGCAAGCCUGCCCUCGGGCUGCUGGCUCCGGCCGGCGAGCGCUUGCCAGAGGACCUAAACUCUGUUUGUCUAUAUUGUCUGAGUACUAUACAAUAGUUAAAACUUUCAACAACGGAUCUCUUGGUUCUG